rnacentral:misc_RNA from 1 species
UAUUUGUGGAAAUGGAACACUCGCAUAGUGAUCUCAGAUGUUGAUGGGACGAUAACAAAAUCAGAUGUUCUUGGUCAGUUCAUGCCUUUAGUUGGGAUGGAUUGGUCACAAACAGGGGUUGCACCUUUAUUUUCAGCUAUUAAGGAAAAUGGUUAUCAAUUGCUUUUUCUAAGUGCUCGUGCAAUAUCUCAAGCCUAUCACACUAGACAAUUCCUAGUCAACCUUAAGCAGAAUGGAAAGGCUUUACCAGAUGGUCCUGUAGUUAUAUCCCCUGACGGUCUUUUUCCUUCUUUAUUCCGUGAAGUUAUUAGAAGGGCUCCUCAUGAAUUCAAGAUUGCAUG